rnacentral:rRNA from 1 species
GGCUCAGAACGAACGCUGGCGGCGUGCUUAACACAUGCAAGUCGAGCGCGAAAGGGGCUUCGGCUCCGAGUAGAGCGGCAGACGGGUGAGUAACACGUGGGUAACCUACCUCUGGGUGGGGGAUAACCACUCGAAAGGGUGGCUAAUACCGCAUAAGACCACGUCUCUGAGGAGAUGCGGUAAAAGGCGCAAGACGCCUGGAGAGGGGCCCGCGGCCGAUUAGCUAGUUGGUGAGGUAACGGCUCACCAAGGCAACGAUCGGUAGCUGGUCUGAGAGGAUGAUCAGCCACACUGGUACUUAGACACGGACCAGACUCCUACGGGAGGCAGCAGUGGGGAAUAUUGCGCAAUGGGCGAAAGCCUGACGCAGCAACGCCGCGUGGGUGACGAAGGCCUUCGGGUCGUAAAGCCCUGUCAGGUGGGAAGAAACCUGUCCUCGAGACAGCUGACGGUACCACCGAAGGAAGCACCGGCUAACUCCGUGCCAGCAGCCGCGGUAAUACGGAGGGUGCAAGCGUUGUUCGGAAUCACUGGGCGUAAAGGGCGCGUAGGCGGCCAAUCGGGUCUGAUGUGAAAGCCCGGGGCUCAACCCCGGAAGUGCAUUGGAAACUGAUUGGCUUGAGUCCGGAAGAGGAGGGCAGAAUUCCCGGUGUAGGGGUGAAAUCCGUAGAAAUCGGGAGGAAAACCAGUGGCGAAGGCGGCCCUCUGGGACGUGACUGACGCUGAGGCGCGAAAGCGUGGGGAGCAAACAGGAUUAGAGACCCUGGUAGUCCACGCUGUAAACGAUGGGUGCUAGGUGCAGGGGUUAACCAUAACUUCUGUGCCGAAGCUAACGCGAUAAGCACCCCGCCUGGGGAGUACGGUCGCAAGACUAAAACUC